GGGCCCUGCCCCGAGGAGGGGGCUUUCAUUCCACCGGGAUAACAAGAGGUAUCUAGGCUGUGUUCAUCCUCAGUUCUGUUUGAUUCCAUUGAAAAGGGUUCUCACCUUGUCAAGGCACCAGAGACAAAAUGAAGUGAGUGCUUUCAGCCCCAUCUUUACAAGACUACCACAAUAACAGAGGAUGGACUUGUUGAGAAUAUGACAAGAGAACAUCACAUCUUUAGACAAACACACGGAAAUGUGCCUCUCCUCACCUCCACCUUCUGGCCUCCCUCAUGACAUCUUAACUUCCACAAAAGCCCUCUCCUUUCACUUCCCCCAAGCUCUCGCUCUCUAGGGCCUUCCCUCUGAGAUUAUCUUAUAUUUACAUGAUAUACAUCUUGCGUGUUCAUAAUUAUUUGCAUGUUCUCUCCUCCUUUUAAUUGGAAGUCCCUCAUGGGAAAGGAAUGAAUUUAUGUUUCUUUGUAUUUCAAGCAUUUAGCAUAUGUGCAUGGAACAGAGUGUUUAAUAAAUACUUAAGGACUGACUAAUACAACUGAUUAAAAUAUACAGGGAACACAAGAUCUCACCAUGCUUGUUUAUUGACCAUUAAAUAGGAUUUCAUUUGGAAGAGUUGAGUGUAGUCUUAAGGGCUGUCCUGUAACAAGGCAAACCCCAUGCCUUUUCUAUACUUCUGUGAGCUCCCUUGAACAAUGGAACAACAGAGAAGACUUUGUUUGGUGACUCUGUGAUUAUGAAUAUCAAAUAAAGCCUAAAUCCUAGCAACCUGUUCCCCUUCAACAUGUUUGCCACCAUUGUGGAGGGCCC